rnacentral:rRNA from 1 species
GACGAACGCUGGCGGCGUGCUUAACACAUGCAAGUCGAACGGACAGGCCCUGCUUUUGUGGGGUGCUCGAGUGGCGAACGGGUGAGUAACACGUGAGUAACCUGCCCUUGACUUUGGGAUAACUUCUGGAAACUGGGGCUAAUACCGGAUAGGAGCUCCUGCUGCAUGGUGGGGGUUGGAAAGUUUCGGCGGUUUGGGAUGGACUCGCGGCUUAUCAGCUUGUUGGUGGGGUAGUGGCUUACAAAGGCUUUGACGGGUAGCCGGCCUGAGAGGGUGACCGGCCACAUGGGGACUGAGAUACGGCCCAGACUCCUACGGGAGGCAGCAGUGGGGAAUAUUGCACAAUGGGCGGAAGCCUGAUGCAGCAACGCCGCGUGCGGGAUGACGGCCUUCGGGUUGUAAACCGCUUUCGCCUGUGACGAAGCGUGAGUGACGGUAAUGGGUAAAGAAGCACCGGCUAACUACGUG